GGUUACUGCUAUCGGUGUUCGCCUAAGCCAUGCGAGUCAUAUGUAGCAAUACAUGGCGUACUGCUCAGUAACACGUGGAUAACCUGCCCUUGGGUCCGGCAUAACCCCGGGAAACUGGGGAUAAUUCCGGAUAACGCAUAUAUGCUGGAAUGCUUUCUGCGUAAAAUGGAUUCGUCUGCCCAAGGAUGGGUCUGCGGCCUAUCAGGUAGUAGUGGGUGUAAUGUACCUACUAGCCUACGACGGGUACGGGUUGUGAGAGCAAGAGCCCGGAGAUGGAUUCUGAGACAUGAAUCCAGGCCCUACGGGGCGCAGCAGGCGCGAAAACUUUACAAUGCGGGAAACCGUGAUAAGGGGACACCGAGUGCCAGCAUCCUAUGCUGGCUGUCCUGGUGUGUAAAAUACACCUGUUAGCAAGGGCCGGGCAAGACCGGUGCCAGCCGCCGCGGUAACACCGGCGGCCCGAGUGGUGAUCGUGAUUAUUGGGUCUAAAGGGUCCGUAGCCGGUUUGGUCAGUCCUCCGGGAAAUCUGACAGCUCAACUGUUAGGCUUUCGGAGGAUACUGCCAGACUUGGAACCGGGAGAGGUAAGAGGUACUACAGGGGUAGGAGUGAAAUCUUGUAAUCCCUGUGGGACCACCUGUGGCGAAGGCGUCUUACCAGAACGGGUUCGACGGUGAGGGACGAAAGCUGGGGGCACGAACCGGAUUAGAUACCCGGGUAGUCCCAGCCGUAAACGAUGCUCGCUAGGUGUCAGGCAUGGCGCGACCGUGUCUGGUGCCGCAGGGAAGCCGUGAAGCGAGCCACCUGGGAAGUACGGCCGCAAGGCUGAAACUUAA
rnacentral:rRNA from 1 species